rnacentral:rRNA from 1 species
UACGGAGGGUGCGAGCGUUAAUCGGAAUUACUGGGCGUAAAGGGUGCGUAGGUUGUUGAUUAAGUUAUCUGUAAAAUCCCUGGGCUUAACCUGGGAGUGCCAGAUGAUACUGAUUGACUCGAGUAUGGGAGAGGGUAGUGGAAUUUCCGGUGUAGCGGUGAAAUGCGUAGAGAUCGGAAGGAACACCAGUGGCGAAGGCGGCUACCUGGCCUAAUACUGACACUGAGGCACGAAAGCGUGGGGAGCAAACAGGAUUAGAUACCCUGGUAGUCCACGCUGUAAACGAUGUCAACUAGCUGUUGGUUAUAUUAAAAUAACUAGUGGCGCAGCAAACGCGAUAAGUUGACCGCCUGGGGAGUACGGUCGCAAGAUUAAA